GUAAAAUUGACUUCUAUGGGCUGGCCAGAGUUCACAGGAUGGUACAGAACAUGCUGCCACUGUGGCAACCACUUUCUACUGUGGCACUGAUCCUGGUCGUCAUGGAAAUCCCAAGUCGUGAAGGAUAUUGCGAUGAGGCGAGACCAGAGGGGGAACUGGCCAGUGGACGAGGGGGAGGGUUUUCCAAAACCCAGGGAGGAGCGGAUGUACAGCUGAAAAAAAGAAAAAGACAAAGCGAUAUUAAUUAAAUGUAAAUCAUAUUAGGAGAGGUGCUACUGUAAUUUUUCUGGCCACUGAGCGACCAUGCAUGUCAAAUAUUCACUCUCCUAGCUCUGUCACUGAUCUUUUAAAGUCAGGACAGAUGAUGCUUGACUUCUUGGCUGCUGCAGGCACCACUAAGUGUUCACUGGCCAGUUGCUCACCCAGGCUUUUGGUGCUGAGCAGUGCACAGGAUAUCAACUGAGAUGCCGUUACCACGAAGCUCCACCCUGCAGUCUUUCUCCACAGUCACCCCUCCUCGACCAUUUUCAAGAAUGCAGUUUGUGACCAGCCGGGUAAGCUGACUGCUCUGCAGCACAGCAAUUCCAGUGCCACGGUUACUGUUCACCAGGUUAGCAAAAACAUUGAGGGGUUCACUGCUCUUCACGUACAGACCAACUGCUAAGGAGGGAUGAUACAGAAAACAUUAGAGACAAAGAGAGAGAGACUUUUUGUACUUGAAACUAUAUGGUUUAUUUAUUACCUCCGUUGUAAUUUAUGCAGUUGCUUUCCACGAGGGCCACACUGAUGGAACGACGGGCAGAGUGUCGCUCAUCCUCACUGUCCAGAUCACUCUCCCAUGCAAACAGUUCCCCCUCUUCAUUCAAGUUCUCCUGCCCUUCUCUCCCUUCUCCCUCCGCCCCCCUCCUCUCCCCACUGCCUUCGUCUCCACCGAUCCUCUCCUGCGCUGGCCAGUUCCCCUCCCUAGCCUCGAUGUUCUCUGGGUCCUUCCUGCAGAACACUGCCAAUCCGUACAUGCAGUUAUGGGUAAUGUAGUUUCCAAGGAGCUGUGGAAGACUGGAUGACAUGACCCACACACCACAGCCUUUGUUACCUGAAAGAUGGGAUCAAAGAUGAGUUUUUUAUGUCAAGAGAAAUAUUUGACGCUAUUACUGUCAGACUGAAAGUGCUUACAGUAGACAUGAUUUCCCUCAAUAAGUCCGCGGCCUCUCUCUCCCACCACAACACCAUCUGAAUAUCCAUAACAAAUGUAGUUGUUCCUCAAGAUGGGGUCACCUCCUCGUCGGAUGUCCACUCCUCCCCACUGGUUCUCUUUUAUCACAUUUUCUGAAAAAUGAUUUUUUUUUUAAUUGUAAAAAAUGAUAAAACACUAGAUGGUGCUUUUAUUUUCCAUAAAUGGUACUUCAAAUAUGGGGGAAAUCAAGAACAUAAUUCAGAUGCUGAUGUGCACCGUGUUAGAGGAGGUGGGACAGAUGUAGACACACACCUGUAAUCAUCCCUCUUCCAUUCUCGUUUACAGCGAUCCCUGCUGCUUGGCCCUGGAAAAUGUGAUUCCCACUAAGGAGAGAAAGCAAACAGAGAAUAAAGUAAAACAGGGACACAAACUGAACAGGCUUGGUCUCUGUGCAGAAACACUUGGCUGGGUUGAUGUAUUUAUACUUCCCAGCUGAACCCUUAAAAUCAGGUAUUACAACACUACACAGCAUUGCUUAUAUCACACCUCAAUGAUAAAGUGCUUGGUUAUGUGCUGCAGAAAAAAUUAACCACUGCACAACAGCAGUCAAACUCACUGUGGUUUGCAGUGAAGGAACUGUUCCCCUUAAAAAAGUCUGAACAGCCUGUUGCAGUGAUGGUUUCAAAGACAGCAUCAACAUGAUGCAUUAAAAAAACAGCUCAAAUCCCAUGAUUCGCUCUUAGUUAAAAACCUCUAUAUGCUACAUGAAAACAGUGAGUAAAAUUGAGGAAAGUAGGUACUUCACUUUCUUGACCAAGUUUGUACAGUCCUGCCUACCUGACCACAGGAUUCCCACUGAAGAGAAUAUAAACGCCUGCUUCCUUGUUGCUGAAGAUCUGGUUGCUCCGAAUCGCACCUUUCCCAUUGCCAAGGACAACAACCCCUGAACGCAAACCGCUGUGUAUUCUGUUGCACUGAGGAAUGAAGGACAGAAGACAGACUGAGAGAACUAGCUCUGUACACCAUUACUUUAAUUGUGUCUCAUUAAAGUUUCAUGACGUUA